CGGCGGCCGGGGGAGGGGCGCGGGCCGGGGCGGCGGGAGGGGGCGCAAAGCUGCGGGUCGCCCUGCCCCCGCCCUCGUGCCAGUUUAACCCGCAGAGGGGCGGAGGCCUGGGUCCCUUCCAGACUUUGUCAUUGGAAAGCUAUUCCCGUAACCCUUUCCUGCCUUCGCCGCGCGCCCCGCCUCCCCGGUCGGCCACAGAAAGGCAGCUGCGGGGUGGUGGGGCUGGGGCCGGAGCUGUCAGGGCAGGAAGCCUCUGCACAAUUGAGCUUUUCCUUUGCUAGGGACCUGCCGCUGCCACUUGCAGGCCAGGAUGCCCUCCCUCUUCCCCACACGUCCUCUAGUUGUCGGUGGUCUGCGGUUCUUUAGGAGAAGGGGACAGAUGGGUCGUGAGCAACCAACCGUACCUGCUUCUGACUCCACUGCCCGCCGCCUUCUUCUCUGGCCCCUGUGAGUAUCCCGCUCUCUGACCUGGAACCCUUGGAUGCAGAGGACAGGAGAGGCCCAGAAGUGCCUGGCAAAUACCAGAUCAGCCAGCCGGCCGGGAGCACAGCCAGGAUUAAAACCCCUGAGCCCUGCCUGAGCCCCUAGUCUUCUAGGCCUGCACAGGGGAACCUGAUGCAAAUGGACACUAGAAGUUCGACUGGUCCUGACUUUUUGUGAGGCCAGGUGCCUGGCCCCCAUCUGUCCACACUGCUAAUGUCACAGCUUGGAUUAUCUGAUGUGAGACUGCGGGGAUUUGAACAGAAUCAGAGCUUCUGCAUUUCAUAUGACCCUCCUGACUUGCCCAGGGCUUGCAGAGCAGUUUGUAAGGCACUUUGCAGGGAUAGGAAGAUAGUACACUGCUUUAUUUUCUUGAGCAUGUAACAAACGUCAUUAGCACUCCUGAGGUGGAAUUGGAGGAGCUUCUGACCUCCUCCUGCAAAGCCAGUGGAAAAACACUGGGUCAAGCUGCAGAGGACCUCACUGUGCCUCUCUUGUGCCGCCUGCUGAAAUGCGUCACCCCAGUUUGCUCAUGGGUAAAAGGGGUGUUGACACCCAGGGGACAGCCAUAUCCACCUGCCAAAGCUGUGGUGAGUAUCCAGUGAGAUAAUGGAAGAGAAAAUGGUUUACAUAAUGUGACUCAAGUCUAAGCAGAAGUGUGAUGAUCACGUGGAAAUCAUCAGCUUGCACUCCAGCCACACCCCAUUGCCCACCUCAGGCCACUUUAUCCUGGCUGUGGGCUCAGUGCUUGAAAGCUCAUUUCUGAGUGACACAAAUUUGUUCACCUAUAGCCCUUGUCCUUUCUGAUUGAUUAGCCAGCCAGGCAGCUGCUGGCGCUAUGGGGUGGGGCAGGGCCAGUCUGCUAUCGUGCCAUGGGGCAUGUUGAGGCUUUAAAAAGGGCUCCCUGCUGGUUGCUGCAGUUUACAAGGACCCAGGAGAAAUAGCCCAUGGGGAGAAGCUGGCACAGUAAUGAAUGUUUUACAAGAGCAGCAAGUCACUUCCUUAUCGGGAAGAUGCCGUUUCUCCCUAGCUCAGUUACCAGGAAGUGAGAUGAGCUGAGAGGCAGUGCAGUGUUUUUCCAAAGAUGGCCUUUGAAGAGGAGUGUUUCUUUAAGAGACCAGGAGAGUGGAGAUGGGGUUGGCAGAGAGAAGUGGGCCCUUUUAAAAAGCCUGGCUCUGACUGUGCAAUCCUGGGGAGGACAAUGGUAGUCAUAUUUAUAUAAUGCUUGUCAUGCAACAGCAGCUACUCUAAGCACUUUCCUUAACCCAUUUAUUUUCACAGCAAGCCUAUGUAACAGGCUUCAAUUUUUGUCCUUUUGUUACAUUUAAAAUUUUUUUUAAUUUUAACUUUUUCUUAAGAGAUGAGUCAUUAUGUUGCCCAGGCUGGCAUCAAGCUCCUAGGUUCAAACCAUCCUCCUAUCUUAGCUUCUCGAAUAGCUGGGACUAUAAAAUGCAGACUACUACACUCAGUCAUAGUUAUCACUUUGGAUUUCAUUUUAUGAGGGAAGAAGUUGAGGCCAAGUAUUUUCCUGGGUUUAACAGCUAGUAAGUGAUAUAGCCAGAAUCUCCAAGCCAUCCGUCUCUGUUGCUUUCACCUCUUCACAUAUAUAGGAGGGGACAGUCCAUGGUAUGGGGGGAUAGUGGUGAAGGGCUCUGGCAUUUACUAGCCUUGGCAAAUUUUUUCUUUUUUUUAAAAUAAUGUUUACUGAAAAGCAACUGUACUUCUAUUUCAUGGUGACGAACAAACAAUAUAUCAUUUACAAAAGUAUUAAAAUGUGAAAUAAUGAUAAAUCUCACCACAAAAUUUAUAAGACCUAUGUACAGAAACCUAGAAAACAUUAAAGAGAAAUUAAAGAUUUCAAGAAACA